rnacentral:lncRNA from 1 species
CGGAGAAGAAGGGAGUGACCGGUUAGGUCAGCUUAAAGAUGAGGACAAGAGACAUAGAAAAGUCAAAGCACGGACGUUGACACCUUUGCAUUGCAUUGCAUCUCUCUUCUCAACUACAAUUUUUUUUUUUUUUUUGCAAGUUGAUAAAUAAUGAUAAUGAAUGGAAAAAUAGACCUACAAGAUAUUCUUUAGUUUCCGAAUAAAAAAGCUUGGGCAACAAAAUCUAGAUUUGCCAUAUUACAUGAUAUACUCCAAAGAGGAAAGGUAUAAUAUAUCGACCUAAUUGUUUGUUUGUUGGCAUGCAUCGUCGACCUCUUCUUACUCUUAGCACACUGAUUAGGUAAUAUACAUGCGCACUUAUAA